rnacentral:misc_RNA from 1 species
GAUGAAGAACGCAGCGAAAUGCGAUACUUGGUGUGAAUUGCAGAAUCCGUGAACCAUCGAGUCUUUGAACGCAAGUUGCGCCUCAAGCCAUUAGGUUGAGGGCACGUCUGCCUGGGCGUCACAUAUCGUUGCCUGAUGCCAGUUUCCUCGUGAUGGGUGACUGUGCAGGGCGAAUGAUGGCUUCCCGUGAGCAUUGUUGCCUCAUGGUUGGUUGAAAAUUGAGUCCUUGGUAGGGAGCGCCGUGAUAGAUGGUGGUUGAGUGACGAACGAGACCCAAUCAUGUGAGACCCCUACCGAAUUUGGCCUUCAUGACCCACAUGCGUCUUUGGAACGCUCAUGACGAGACCUCAGGUCAGGCGGGGCUACCCGCUGAGUUUAAGCAUAGCAAUAAGCGGAGGA